ensembl:lncRNA novel transcript
AGGGGUGUCGCCCGACCGCAGUGCCCGCUCGGUGCGCGCAGAGGCUGCGUGGAGAGAGGGCAACCAGCAACUUGGUGCCACCCUAGAGAGCGCUGCCCGGGCCGCCUUCCUUCCUGCCCGCAGCCCUGGGAGGUACGUACUACUGGCCCCCUUUCAACGGCUGGGAAAACUGAGACCCAGAAAGGGGAAGGGACUUGCUCAGAGUCAUACUGUGAAUGUGGACGAGGACCAGCUCUCAACUCCAAGGUGCAGCCACCCACGUCUUAACCAGAGCAGGAAGGCGUCAGUAACCUCGGUGGCCCAACCUCAGAACCUGACUCUGCUGUCAAGGGGGAAGAUAAUCCCAAACCCCGACAAGUAGCUGGAGAAUCAUAACUGACCUCCAACCAAGUGUGACUUUGGGCAAAGCGCUAACACUCUGAGCCUCAGUUUCAACGUCUAUUAAAUGGGGAUAAUUGUAGUUCCGCCUUUUAGGGAAUCCCUGAGAGGAUGAACCUCAGAAGGCAUUUAGCAGAAAGCCUGGCUGAUUUUGCCAUGCCUCCUUAUUAAAUGGGAUGCGCUAUAAUGGAUGGGGAAAA